AUGGCGAGUGAAAACACCGAGACAAACGCGGGGAACGACGAGGAAACCAGUCCCCCGUCUGAGACAAACGAGCACGACUAUGCCCACUCCGCAGCCAAUACCUUUGCCUCCACGGACACGUCCUCCCUCUCUGGUGCUCCGGCGGCUGGCGAUGCGCGGGGAAACUUUACUGCAGCUGCUGGAGCCGAGCAGAGCGGGUCAGGUCAGCCCACCACAUCUGUAGAGCUUCCCGAACCGGCCGUGGGUGCAGAGGUGGACUGUCCUGGUGGGAAUGAUGUGGAAGCAUCCUCUCUGCCGCAGACCGCAGAAGACUCCCAAAAGGCAGCAGCCUCUGAACUCGCUGGUGCCUCCGUCGCCCCCGGUGCGUCCCGGAGCGGCCGCCGGCGUUCCACGCGGCCGGAGGACAGGAACUGCUGCUGCUGCAAGUGCGAGUUCGAGCGGCAGGGCCGCAGCUUCAACCGGAGGGCCGUGUUCACCUUCACCACCCCAGAGACUGUACACUGGGCCUUCCCGGGGUCCACAGUGACCGACAAGUCCUUCCUGUGCGAGAUCUGUGCGCAGGUCAUCAGGAGCAAGUGCAAGCGUAAACACAGCGGGAAGAGAACCUUGUGGCUGAAACCACCGUCAGAGAUUAGAGACAAAAGGAAGAAAGGUCGCAGGAUGGGGAAGAAGAGCAAAGCGGCGCUGCUGGUGAGCAAGUCCUGCUACAAGGCCGCUUUCAAAAUGCUCUGGUCUGCCAAAGGUGCCCGGAAGCCCAUGAUGGAGUUCUGGAUCAAACAGUUGAAAGAUGAGAUGAAGGCGCUGACGCGGCAGACGGACAGUCCCUUCCAUCAGAAAGUGUCGAGCAGGAGGCCACUGUCGUCGUUCCCCUGGCGUCGCUGUCUGAACUGGUUCCAGGACAAAGCUCCACUCGUCACCACCUGCCUCACCUCGCUGUUCCCAGACAUCAGCCACCUCUCGAAGAGCAGCCACCAGAUGUCAGAGGAGCAGGCCCAGACGUUGCUGGAGCGGCGUGUAGUGGUGGCACUCUCCGUCCCGCUCUUCACCAGGAACAUCUGGAAGAACAACUACCUGCAGGCCGCUCUAGGGGCAGAGCUACGCCUGCAGGGCUGCUCCGGCUCCGCUCUGGAUGCCCUCAACACCAUGGGACUGUGUCAGAACAAGGACACCGUCAGGUUACUGCUGCAAAGGCUCCGAACCAGCAAGAAGAACGCCACACAAAACGGACAGCAGAGGAUGAAGAUGAAACAAGAGCAGAUGAAAGGAGAACACAUGACAGACAUUGAGGACGAGGACGAGGAUGAGAAUGAAGAAGAAGCGGAAGAGGAAAUGGACUUGGAAAUGGAUGAGGAAGAGGAAGAGGAGGAGGAGGAUGAUGAGGACGAGGAGGAGGAAGAAGAAGAAGAAGAAGAGAGGAGGAGGAAUUGGAGAUGGCAGCAGAGGAAGAAAUAG
rnacentral:lncRNA from 1 species